AAACCAACUCCAAGAUUAGGAAUCGUUGAGACUCGUGGGAGAUGACCACGUUGAUAGGCGCUAGGUGGAAGUGCUGUAAGGCAUUGAGCCGAGGCGUACUAAUACGUCGACAGAACUCUCGAA
rnacentral:rRNA from 1 species